rnacentral:rRNA from 1 species
UACGUAGGGUGCGAGCGUUAAUCGGAAUUACUGGGCGUAAAGCGUGCGCAGGCGGUUGGUUAAGUCUGAUGUGAAAGCCCCGGGCUCAACCUGGGAAUGGCAUUGGAAACUGGCUAGCUGGAGUGUGGCAGAGGGGGGUGGAAUUCCGCGUGUAGCAGUGAAAUGCGUAGAGAUGUGGAGGAAUACCGAUGGCGAAGGCAGCCCCCUGGGCCAGUACUGACGCUCAUGCACGAAAGCGUGGGGAGCAAACAGG